UCCGCGUUAUCCUUGGCAGUCUCGCUAGAGUCCCCAACUGAAUGAUGGUAACUAGCGAUAGGGGUUGCGCUCGUUGCCGGACUUAACCGAACACCUCACAGCACGAGCUGACGACAGCCAUGCAGCACCUGUCAUCUGGCUUCCUCGUGAGAGGACACCCCAGCAUUUCCGCCGGGUUCCAGAGAUGUCAAGCCUGGGUAAGGUUCUGCGCGUUGCUUCGAAUUAAGCAACACGCUCCGCUGCUUGUGCGGGCCCCCGUCAAUUCCUUUGAGUUUUAGCCUUGCGGCCGUACUCCCCAGGCGGGGUGCUUAAUGCGUUAGCUGCGGCACGGGAGGAGUCGACACCUCCCACACCUAGCACCCAUCGUUUACGGCGUGGACUAC
rnacentral:misc_RNA from 1 species